rnacentral:lncRNA from 1 species
GCUGUUUAAUCCCAACUGUUAACAUAAGAUCAUUUGUGUGUUUGAAGAGCAAUCCCAUUUGGAUUUCCCCCUUUAUUUAUUUAUUUUCUAGCUUUUCCAAGAGAGAGGCUUUCUCAGCUGUAGGAUGCAAUUUGUGUUGCUGUCUUUUUCCACUUUCACCCUCAGCUUCUGAAGGAGAGGGGUGUUGUGGUUUUUCUAACUCUAAAUACUCAGAAGGGAGAGGGGAUGGCUGUGUGGUCUCCUAACCGAGCAGGGCAUGGCCCUUUCGCAGCCUGUGGGACCUGCUUUUUGCUCUCCAGAACAUUUAUAAACCAUUCUGGUCAGAUUAUGGGAAAAGGCCCUCACAUGAAAUGCGUCUGGUGGUCUCAGCCAAAUUCUGGUGAGACUGGAGUUUUCUCAGCACCACCCAGGAUUGGAACCAAUUCCUGUGAAGCUCAGUUCCAAAACCCAAUCAUUAGGCUCACAGCUACUUUGAAAGGGUCAAGGAAGGAUGUCAGCAGUUUGGGUGGCCUGUCUGAGUGCCCACUUUGGAACAGUGAGCAGGACACCUACAAGCCUUCUGAUGUUGAGGAUGGUCUUACUUCUCCAUGUUCUGAAACCAUUUUAAACCAAAACAAAAAACAGACAACCUUGCAGGAAACUCAGAGUAAAUAAAUAGUCCUUGUCUGUUAAGUGAAAUUGUUCCUUAAGGUGGAGAGACUGAGACAGGAUCCGCCAGAAGAUUACACACUAUGUACAUUAAUAGCAAAAUCAGCUAGAAGAUUGAGAGUUUCUACCAUUAGGAAACAUACACAAAUACCAUCACACCCAGAAAAACCCAUCGAAGCUGUUUUGUCAAAAGUGUGCCUGAGAGGUAGGGGCUGGAAAAGAUAAAUGCAAACUGAAUCUGGGGGACAUCUCCUCCUGAAGAGGAGAAAAAAAAAAGUUGUGCACAGGAAUGUUCCUUUUUAAAAAGAAACCCCUUCGGAGGCACAGAACUUGCCUGCCCGCUCUGAAGAAACAAGGUGGAUUAUUUCAGCUCUCUGGGGCUUGGAACGUGUGUGUGCAAGAGCACCCUGAUAGCUGCAAUAAUAAACAUGUCCAGCUGCAAGAGCUCUGCCUAACA